UCCACGCCCUAAACGAUGAACACUAGUCGUCGGGAUGCUAGUCAUCUCGGUGAUGCACUUAACAGAUUAAGUGUUCCGCCUGGGGAGUACGGUCGCAAGAUUAAAACUCAAAGGAAUAAACGGGGGUCCGCACAAGCGGUGGAACAUGUGGUUUAAUUCGACACUACGCGAGGAACCUUACCUAGGUUUGACAUGUAAUCGCUAUCCGCCGAAAUGCGGAGUUUCAAGUUUACUUGGACGGUUACACAGGUGCUGCAUGGCUGUCGUCAGCUCGUGUCGUGAGAUGUUGGGUUAAGUCCUUUAACGAGCGCAACCCUUGCCGUCAGUUGCUAUCCUUUAUUGGAGGCACUCUGGCGGGACUGCCUAGGAAACU
rnacentral:rRNA from 1 species